rnacentral:rRNA from 1 species
AGAGCGACGGGCGAUGUGUGCAUAUUUUAGUGCUAAAUCAUUAAAAAAAAAUAAUUCUAAUUACUUUCAAAUCCAAUUUUAUAAAAAAAUUUCAACUUAAAAUCCAUAAGUAAAUCUUAUUGUAACCCAUUUCUUCUUUAAUAUAAACUUCACCUUGAUUUGAUUUAAUUUUUAAUAAAAAAUUUUAAAUAUUUAAUUCUUUAAAAAUAUUUUAAAACAACGAUAUAAAAAUUUCUAAAUAAAGUUAAUUUAAUCGUGGAUUAUCGAUUAUAGAACAGGUUCCUCUGAAAAGUUUAAAAUACCGCCAAAUUAUUUAGCUUUAAAGAACUUAACUAUUAAUCACUUAGUUUAAAAAUCUACAUUCUAAAUAAUAGGGUAUCUAAUCCUAGUUU